rnacentral:sRNA from 1 species
GCUAGGCUAUCAAUUUCGGAGCUGAGAAAAGUGCAUCCUUCCAUGUUCACGGAUUUGCUCUUCAGGGUAUUAAAAAUCAUGUGUACAACUGGCCCACCUGUGUUUGAAUAACAUCAGUGUGCUUCUUCUUCUUCUUCUUCUUCUUCUUCUUCUUUGAUAGGAGCAUUUUGAUAUAAGAAGAGUUUUUUUAAAAAAAAAUCAUUCUUUAUUGCCUUAUUAUUUCAGACCUCGCAGCCUUUUGACAAAAUCGUUCUUAAAGUUACUUUACUAUUAGAAUUGUAAACGAGGGACAUCAACUCUCGUGGAAAAUACCUCUUCAUAUCCAGUCCGACUCGAUGGCGCACAAAGGACUCUCAAUGAAAACCAUCCAGUAUCACCCCGACAACCCCUAUGAUUGCCCGCAUCAAAGAUGGUUGACCACAUAAGCUUUGCUAAGUCUUCCAAGGAAGACUUAAAUAGCACUUGCCUCUCUUUUCUCUCGCUAGGUGGAACUUGUACAAUUGGCAACCCUCACCACAAUCAUUUGCCCUUUUGUGGCAGAUAGCUACGGGGGUUGCCAAUACUUAUGGCCUAGUAUGUGUACAUCAAAAAGCCGUAGUCCGGCAAGUUGUACCUAGAAAUUUAACUCAACUGUGGGGUGGUCGGGGUUUGGAAGCAAGUCCAGAAACUAAUUAAACUAGGCC